CCUACGGGAGGCAGCAGUGGGGAAUUUUGGACAAUGGGCGCAAGCCUGAUCCAGCAAUGCCGCGUGAGUGAAGAAGGCCUUCGGGUUGUAAAGCUCUUUUGUCAGGGAAGAAACGGUGGGGGCUAAUAUCCUCCACUAAUGACGGUACCUGAAGAAUAAGCACCGGCUAACUACGUGCCAGCAGCCGCGGUAAUACGUAGGGUGCAAGCGUUAAUCGGAAUUACUGGGCGUAAAGCGUGCGCAGGCGGUUUUGUAAGUUUGUCGUGAAAUCCCCGGGCUCAACCUGGGAAUGGCGAUGAAGACUGCAAGGCUAGAAUCUGGCAGAGGGGGGUAGAAUUCCACGUGUAGCAGUGAAAUGCGUAGAGAUGUGGAGGAACACCGAUGGCGAAGGCAGCCCCCUGGGUCAAGAUUGACGCUCAUGCACGAAAGCGUGGGGAGCAAACAGGAUUAGAUACCCUGGUAGUCCACGCCCUAAACGAUGUCUACUAGUUGUCGGGUUUUAAUUAACUUGGUAACGCAGCUAACGCGUGAAGUAGACCGCCUGGGGAGUACGGUCGCAAGAUUAAAACUUAAAUUGAAUUGACGG
rnacentral:rRNA from 1 species